AGCAACGGAUAUCUUGGCUCUUGCAACGAUGAAGAACGCAGCGAAAUGCGAUACCUAGUGUGAAUUGCAGAAUUCCGUGAAUCAUCGAGUUUUUGAACGCAAGUUGCGCCCGAGGCUCGUCCGAGGGCAUGCCUGCCUGAGCGUCCAC
rnacentral:rRNA from 1 species